ensembl:snoRNA
CCCUCCUGGCAAUGGACAAAGACACCCCUUGUUGGUGGUGGUGUUGUUCUUAUCAGUCAGGGGCAGAGAGGUUGGCGGUCCUUUGUUCAUCCUAGCUUGAUGCCUGGUUUGGUGGCCAAAGCUGUCAUAUGCCUAGGACUCAUAA